UUUUUUUUUUCAAUUUUUUUUUUUUUUACAGAUGGUCUCACUAUGUUGCCCAGGCUGGCCUUAAACCUCCUAAGCUCAAGCGAUCCUCCCACCUCAGCCCCUCAUAGUGCUGAGAUUACAGGCAUGAGCUACCACAUCCUGCCCUCAGUUGAUUUUUAACCACCAACAAGUUUUUAUCUAGUUUUCGCCUUAAACUGUACUGUAGCUCUCGUAUUACCUAGCCCUCCCUUUCUCUCUCAUAACUGUUCAUACAUCAUCGACUCUUCCCCCACCAAAAAUCUCAGAUUUUUCUGAAUCUGAUAUGAAGUGAACAGUAGUAACCUAAUUAGGGAAUGAGUUCUAUUCUAUCUUAGUUGGUGGAAAAUAAUUUACAAAUCAAGGUAAAUACGAGAUGGAUAUUCCACACAUAGGUACCGUUUCUCAUUUACAAUGAGACCUGGCAAGGAUGAUGCUGCUGCUUUUUUCUUCACCUUUUACCUUAGGUUUGGGGUGCAUGGGCAGGUUUGUUACAUGAGUAGAUUGCAUAGCUGGGGUUUGGUGUACAAAAAAACUCGUCACCUGGGUAGUGAGCAUAGUACCCGAUAGGUAGUGUUUCAACACUCUCCCUCCUCCCACCCUUCACCCUCAGGUAGGCCCCGGUGUCUGUUGCUACCCUCUCUGUGCUCAUGAAUUAUCAGUGUUUAGCUCUCAAUUAUCAGGGAGAACAUGCAGUAUUUAGUUUUCUGUCCCUGUGUUAGUUUGCUUAGGAUAAUGGCCUCUAGAUGCCUCCAUGUUCCUGCAAAGGAUAUGAUAUUGUUCCUUUUUUAUGGCUGCAUAGUAUUCCAUUGUGCAUAUGCACCACAUUUGCUGUACCUAGUCCAUCAUUGCUGGGCACUAGGAUAAUUCCAUGUCUUUGCUAUUGUGAAUAGUUCUGGGAUGAACAUAGGAGUGCGUGUGUCUUUUGGGUAGAAUGAUUUAUAUUCAUUUGGGUAUAUACCCAGUAAUUGGAUUACAGGAUCAAAUGGUAGUUCUAGUUUUAGUUCUUUGAGAAAUCUCUAAACUGCUUGGACUGUUUUUCCAUUUACUUGUUUCAUCUCUGAUUUCCUUUAGCAGUUUUGUAAUUCUCUUUGUAGAGAUCUUUUACCUCCCUGGUUAGCUGUAUUCCUAGGAAUUCCAUAAA
rnacentral:lncRNA from 1 species